CGCCUUUAUUUCUACAGAGUAGAGCUCAGGAAAUGUGAACUCAUGUGCUGUUGCUUCCUCCUCGUCUUCCCUAAUCACUUGUUCCAUUGUAUUGCAUUCUUUUACUUCUAUCCGCCUUAGUAGCUUGAGGCUCAAAAGCAUAGACGAGGUAAAAAUGUACUUCAAAUUGUGACACCCUUCCACCCAUAAGUGUUUGAGAGAUGAGGAAGAUGGGUGGUGCCAUAUCUCAUGAAUGUUAAUGGAGGACAAAGUCAGAUACUCCAAAUUGGGAAUGACAACCUGCAGACAUAUAUAAAUGUCAUAAUAAGAUAACAUAACUCUUCCUUCUUUACAUACAAAUACAAAUUCAAUCAAAAUGAGAAGAAGAAAUGAUAAAUUGUAGAGAAAAUUGAAACAUGGACUGAGUUAAGUGAUAAAAUGUAGAGCUGCAUAAAUCUAACAUCAUUCAACCGCCUUUCUUUUUCUAUCCUUAAAUUACACUUUCAUUAUCAUUUACAUUAUUUAUUUUUCAUUUACACUUUUUUUUUUCACUAAUUAAUUAACAGAAAAAUCAGCAAUUUUCACUUCUUCAUUCAUUCUUUAAUUAUGGUUUGAAGGUUUUUUUUAUUGCUGUAAAAUAAUUAAUAUAUUUUAAUUAUGUUUAAUAAUUUUAAUAAUAUUACUUUAUAUUAAUUACAUGAAAUAAAAAUACACUAUAUUUGUCACAUAUUUAUUUAUUAAAAGGCUUAAUAAGACAUUUGAUAUCUGAACUUGACACUUUUUCUUAAUUUAGUAUCUAAGUUUUUUUUUUAUGUCUAAUUUGAUAUCUAAACUUGUUAAACAUUAUACAAAUUACUCCAUUAUACUAAUCGUGUUAUUCCUCAAUAUGAUACUUAUGUUUUUUCUUUCUAUUCUUAUAAUCAAUCAACCAGUUUACCUCGAAACCGUUACGAAAAAUGAUGUGGCACUAAAAGACCAAUUCGCCAUUAACCUGUGGCAUUUCUUAUAAGAGUCUCACACCCAAUAACAAUUUGACACAUGGUAACAUUAUAAAAAUAUAUUUUUAAAUUUUUAAAAAUAAUAUUUUUUAAAUUCAUUAAUAUUUGAAAAAUAAAAAUAUAAUAUAUAUUUUUUGAAAAAUAGAAUUAAUUUUUUUGUUAAAUUAAAGUUAAUUAACAUUUUUUUAAUUAGGUCCUAAAGUAUCAAGUUUAGGUAUUAAAUUAGAAAAAGAAAGAGUCAAAUUUAGGUACCAAAUGUUAUAUUAAACUUAUUUAAAAAAUAUAAUUAUUUAUUUUACAAUUUAUUAAAAUUAAAACAAGUGGUUAAGUGUAAUGGUAAGGUACGUUGCACUCCCAAAAGAAGGAACUAGGUUUGAACUUUAGAGAUGACAUUAUUAAGAAGGUAGCCAUGAAUCCGGAACAUAAACCAUAAAACGGAUAUAAAAAUUACCAAAAAAAAAAUUACUAGCUUCUCUAAUGUUAAGUGAUUUUACCUAUUUAACAAUUUUUUAAAUAAUAUAUUUUGAAUUAUUGUAAUUACUGUAAAAUAAUAUUCAUUAUCCAAGCUAUUGAAUAUAAUUAAAAUAUUUAAUAAUAUAAAUGAUAUUAUAAUAAAUUUUCAAAUCACAAUUAAAAUAUUUUUAUUAUAUUCAAUGUUUUACUUCCUAUAAUUAAUAUAAAGCAACAUAAUUCAGAAUAAUAACACAUAUCAUUCACGUUUAAUAAAAAAAAUUUCCUAAUCGCCAUUAAAGCAUUCGUACAAAUUAUAAAGUAUUGAUGUAUUAUAAAUUAACUUGACAGUAAGUGUAUAUUUAAGAUGACUAAAAAGGCAUGGAAAAGGGCCGUGAAAAGAUUUUGUUUGAUAUUCUUCAUACUCAACAACCUUAUUCAUUUCUAUCUUUUAUGCUAUCAAUUCCCCCACUAUUUAUCUAAUACAUUCUCAUCAUAUAUGGAUUCUCAUCAAUUCAUCAAAUAGAAGGAGAGAAGAUAUGAAUUAUUUAGUGCACAUAAAUAUUGAAUAUCAAACUCACCUUGUCGCAGAAUAAAGUUGUAGUGUUAUCUCCCACGCCUUGCUCGCCAAUCACUUUUUCACUCUCUCUUGAAAUUGAAGAAGAAAAUGCCGUCAUUUUUGGACACCCAGCUAUCUCAAUAUCACUUAACUUUGGAAAUUCAAGAGCUCGACUUCCCAAAUAAAAAUUUGUCAAGUUGAAACACGCCUUUAUUUCUACAGAGGAGAGCUCAGGAAAUGUGAACUCAUGUGUUGUUGCUUCCUCCUCGUCUUCCCUAAUCACUUGUUCCAUUGUAUUGCAUUCUUUUACUUCUAUCCGCCUUAGUAGCUUGAGGCUCAAAAGCAUAGACGAGGUAAAAAUGUACUUCAAGCUGCUACAUUUAUAAAACUUUAUUUUGCCAAGGAAUGUCAAUUCCAAAACUGCUCGAGGGCUUUUUUUCCAUAUUUCUAUCAACUCGGGAAACGUGUCAGAGAUGGUCAAAACAUCUAGGUCAAGGCAUCC
rnacentral:lncRNA from 1 species